rnacentral:rRNA from 1 species
AGUAGGUGGGGUAACGGCUCACCUAGGCGACGAUCCCUAGCUGGUCUGAGAGGAUGACCAGCCACACUGGAACUGAGACACGGUCCAGACUCCUACGGGAGGCAGCAGUGGGGAAUAUUGCACAAUGGGCGCAAGCCUGAUGCAGCCAUGCCGCGUGUAUGAAGAAGGCCUUCGGGUUGUAAAGUACUUUCAGCGGGGAGGAAGGGAGUAAAGUUAAUACCUUUGCUCAUUGACGUUACCCGCAGAAGAAGCACCGGCUAACUCCGUGCCAGCAGCCGCGGUAAUACGGAGGGUGCAAGCGUUAAUCGGAAUUACUGGGCGUAAAGCGCACGCAGGCGGUUUGUUAAGUCAGAUGUGAAAUCCCCGGGCUCAACCUGGGAACUGCAUCUGAUACUGGCAAGCUUGAGUCUCGUAGAGGGGGGUAGAAUUCCAGGUGUAGCGGUGAAAUGCGUUGAGAUCUGGAGGAAUACCGGUGGCGAAGGCGGCCCCCUGGACGAAGACUGACGCUCAGGUGCGAAAGCGUGGGGAGCAAACAGGAUUAGAUACCCUGGUAGUCCACGCCGUAAACGAUGUCGACUUGGAGGUUGUGCCCUUGAGGCGUGGCUUCCGGAGCUAACGCGUUAAGUCGACCGCCUGGGGAGUACGGCCGCAAGGUUAAAACUCAAAUGAAUUGACGGGGGCCCGCACAAGCGGUGGAGCAUGUGGUUUAAUUCGAUGCAACGCGAAGAACCUUACCUGGUCUUGACAUCCACGGAAGUUUUCAGGGAUGAGAAUGUGCCUUCGGGAACCGUGAGACAGGUGCUGCAUGGCUGUCGUCAGCUCGUGUUGUGAAAUGUUGGGUUAAGUCCCGCAACGAGCGCAACCCUUAUCCUUUGUUGCCAGCGGUCCGGCCGGGAACUCAAAGGAGACUGCCAGUGAUAAACUGGAGGAAGGUGGGGAUGACGUCAA